CUGUUAUAUUUUAACCAAACAUUAUCCUGCUUGGUGUUGCAAUGACAAACACCUGAAGCUGGGACCUUUAUAAAGACAGGUUCAUUUGGCUUGAAGUUUUGGAGGCAAAAAGGUGACCCCAGGCAUUUAACCUGAAGGUCCUACUUACUACCUGUCAACAUGGCCACCCGGGACCACGCUUUCAGAAAAUCAGCCUUUGUGGGGACACACUCAAGCCUUCUCCACACCGUAGCAGUCUGCCUAGUUUGUUUUGGAUGUAUUUCUUUCGAAUAACAAAGUUGGUAUAUCUUCCUGGAAGAAUGACAACACCAGCACUCUGGGCUUAACUCAUCAAGUCAUGGGCUUCAUCCUGGUGCCUAGAUUGGAGCUCUACAGUAACCUGCUCAGUCUCAAAAGGCGAUUAAAAGCAGAAGAAUUAGUAAAGCUACUCAGGAAGACUGUUGGGAAGAGACUUCACAGUACCCAGAGACCACUGAAGUUGGAAGGGACACAUUUCAAGUGCUGCCAUCAGAUCGCUGUAUUUUCCACCAACCGUUAGAGCUCAAAGACACUGGUAUUGAGUUGGCAGGGAUAAUCAGGGCUUGCUUUUCCAAAGAUGUUGAUUUCUUGUGUGUGAAGGGUAGGCCAUGACUGAGAGGCCAAAGAGAACCAGUCCCAAGUGCAAGUCUGGCCCAGGAAGUUUCCAGUCGGAACAGCACAGCUCCCUGCCCACCAAGCCAAGGCUGGACCAAAAUAAAUGAAGAGCAGAACUGACCCCAGCACAGGCCCCAAGCAGAUGUCAGGACCAAUGAGGACUUCCCUUGUAUGUUGGUGGGAAUGGCAUGCUGGGAAAGUGCAAGCACAAUGACUCACCCCCGGACACCACAUAGCGUGUAGUCCAGGGAGGCUGCUCUGGUUUGCAGUAAACUGAAUAAACUCCCUUUCCGCACUGUGGGCUACAGGGUGAAUUCCUUCAGCAAUUCUAGCACUGUCUUUUCACCUUCCACAGCAUGUUUGCCCCUCAUUAAUACAAAUUAGAAACAGUCCAACCAAGGAUAGACAUCCAGUGUGUACCUAAGAGCUCUUGAGGACAGGGACUAUUAGAUAAAAUUCUGGUAAAUUUCACUAAUACCCUUUUCCUUCCCCCAAAAGGAGAAACACCACAGAAACUUGCUGCUUCCUGGCUGGACUCCUGGGAGAGCAGUGCUGGAAUUAUUGUUGUGUUGUUAUUGUUGAAACAAGGUCUCAUGUAGCCCAUGCUGGCCUGGAAUUGCCUGUGUGGCUGCGGAUGACCUUGAACGUCUGAUCCUCCUGCCUCUAUCUCCCAAGUGCUGGGAUCACAGACAGACUGUGGACGCGAGAACCCAGGCUGGAGAAAUGGCCCAGUGGUUAGAGCACUUGCUGCUCCUGCAGAGGACCUGGUUCAGCUCCCAGCACUCACAUCAGGCAGCUCACAACCAAGUGUAACUCCAUUUCCAGGGGGAGCUGAUGUCCUGUUCUGGCCCCCAUGCACUCCAGUAACCCUCCCCCAGAGUAUAUAUGUAAUUAAAAUAACAUAACUAAAAAUAAAUCUUUUUAAAAAUAAAA